rnacentral:rRNA from 1 species
AGCGAACGCUGGCGGCAGGCCUAACACAUGCAAGUCGAACGAAGUGGCGGACGGGUGAGUAACACGUGGGAACGUGCCUUUAGGUUCGGAAUAACUCAGGGAAACUUGUGCUAAUACCGAAUGUAGAGCGGCCCGCGUCUGAUUAACUAGUUGGUGAGGUAAAGGCUCACCAAGGCGACGAUCAGUAGCUGGUCUGUGAGGUUGAUAAGCCACAUUGGGACUGAGACACGGCCCAAACUCCUACGGGAGGCAGCAGUAGGGAAUCUUGCGCAAUGGGCGAAAGCCUGACGCAGCCAUGCCGCGUGAAUGAUGAAGGUCUUAGGAUUGUAAAGCACUUUAAGUUGGGAGGCGUUACCAACAGAAUAAGCACCGGCUAACUCCGUGCCAGCAGCCGCGGUAAUAC